AGUGAGCGCACAGCGCCGGGCGAGCAGGUGCCUGUGGCGCGGAGAGCGCACCAGCGAGCGGCAAGCAGCGGCCAUGUUCCAAGAUGCACGCUGAGUGAAAUGCUGCCAUGGAUGCGGCUGAGCCCUGCCAAGUUCCUGCUGAAAAAUGGCCUCCACUUCAGGAAAGGAAAGGGAAACUGAGGCGCGUGACUGGCUUGGACUGAAGUCUCCCCAGCCUUUGCCUCAGGUCAAAGAGGCAGCGCAAGUACCCCCAGGCUCUAUCUUUCAGCAUGAGGCAGUUCACACUUUGCUAUGCCACCUGGUGUCCCAUAGAACCUGCAGCGGAAGUGUGGAUAUUUAGCUUCCUGUCUGCUCCUGGGAAUGGUGGGGUCUGGGAGGCGAGGUUGCCCCUUACCUACCAGUGCUGCCUUCAUUCCCCUAUACAGGGGCUGAAGCUCUGAGAGGGCCAGGGGAGGCCUGCAGGUUUAGGGAGCUGGGUUGGAGAGCAGGGGGCCUGAUGGCUGUUGUGCUGGGGAGCACCCUCAUUUUCUGGAGUUUGGCUGAGGAGUAGCUGGGGAUACAGGGAAGUUCUGAGAACCAACAGGCAGGGAUCCAGCUGCUCCUUCUAUAAGUGCAGUCAGUGCUCCCUCAGGUGUCACUGGGCUUUUGAGGGGCUUCCAAGGGGCCAGGGCAUGGGCAGAGAAGGCUUGCAGGACAUAAUGACUCAGUUGGUCUGUCCUGACACCCAAAGCUGAGGACUAUGCUGAGGGGCAGAUGCCUACUGGUAGCAGCCAUGGGCUGUUCUGUGGUUGCCCAGUGUGGGCCUUGUGGAAGUUUCUGUGCUGCCCCAAUCUCCUCCUGCCUCUAGAGAAGCUGACAGUCACAGAAGAAGUGAAAUCCUUCAUUUUGCACAGUCCCUGGCACACAGGAAGUCCCCACUCAAUAUUCUCGCUGACAAUUUCCAUGGGGCACAGAGGCAGCUGUGACGGGGGAGACAGAACUCUCAUUUGGAUACUGAGGUCAGCUCUGGCCCAUAUCUGCCGUUAGCAGAAGACAGGGACAAAGGCUAACUAGAGCUUGGGAGACAUAGGGAGCUAUGUAAAGGACUUCCUGAUGAGUGGCUUCUCAGAAAGCUCUUCUUUGGAGCUCUUUGAAGGCAAAAGUGAUGAAGGUAGAAAGGCAAAAUGACCACGGUGUCCCCACUACACCAAGCACUCUGCCUACUGUAGGCCAGCACCACUUUGGGGGUAGCUGGCUGAGGCAGGAGGAAGUGUGAGGAAGGCAGGCUCCUACUGGCCCAGCUGUGACCCAUGCGUCAGAGGCUGGCUGGACUCGCAGGUAGAUGAGGCUUUGGGGAUCUCUGGAUCAGAAAGGGAGAAGACAGGAAGGGCUGACAAACUGGGAGAUCUCAGGACAGCAUCUUCUACAACCCAGGAGAGCUGAGUCAGCCUGUGAGGACAGGUGCCCAGCCAACGGGAAUCUGCAUUCUGGCCACGCAGCCCUUAGACACUCUGUCUUAGGAUUCUUGAUUUAAUCAAUUUUGUCAUGCGGGAUGGGAGGGAUAAUAGAAGGAGAAUCUGUUAACACUGGGCCUGGCAGGAGGCUUGGAAGGCUCUUUGAGACUUGGACACACUGUGACGUAGCUGAAGCCCCUAAGGACACAGCCAGCACACGGAGGGGUAAGGUGUGCAGCCAGUGGCCACGGUGCAGCACGGUCCCUUCGUUCCACUCUGCUGUCUCCCACUGUGGGAGCUCAGUGGACGUGGGGCUUCCCCCAUGGAGAAUCUGGAACCCAGACAGGUUGAGUGACGUGUUCAAGGUCACACAGCCUGCUCAGACUAAAGGCAGAGGAGAGAUCUCAGCUUAAAGAGCUGCGCCCUUCCUCCCUCCUUUCCAGGGCUCUGUGUGUCUGUGUGAGAAGAACAUGAAUCACCAGGAGACUCAGAAAGAGCAGCACCCUGCCUCCUGCUUCUGUCUCCCAAUAAUGUGUCCUCUAAGCUGAUGCUGGCUUUUCAUCUCUGCACCAGCGUGGUCCAUGCCUGGCUGCUCCAGGAUGUUUGUUGAAUGAAUGAAUGAUUGGCACAUUCUGGGCAGGAAGUUAUCUCUUCCCUCCCACUUUGCAAACUCAUCUUUUCCCCACCAACUUGCUGUAAGACGGAAGUCCAUGUUCUGUCUCGUGGGAGGCUGACGCUGCCUGAAGGAGCAAGUCUCAUCAGUUGUGAUACGAGCUGCAGUGCCAGAGCUGGGAGCGAAGGAAUCUGUUGAGAGCAGUGGAAAUGGCUGGGAUUUAUCUCCAGGAUAAUUGGGGGCAAAGGACAGAAAAUGCCCCAGCUGGUUUAAUCAGGAAGAGGGUGCAGAUGGGCAGGACACCGAGGAAGCUUGGGGAACCUGUGGAGCUGUGCACCCCCUGGCCUUAAUAGAUUCUUGGGAGUCUGCUCUGCACUGUCCUGUGAGACCCGGGAUGACAACUCCACCCCAACCUGAAGCAAUUAUGGUCACUGUAACAAGAGGACCAUAAAAAGGAAUAUGCUGAAUCACACAUCGGUACUCAGAAUUUUUUCCUAUUUGAUCAUUCAACAUGAGUGGUAAGGGCAGCUAAGCACAGUCCUGCCGUGUACUUGGAAGAAGAGAAAGCAUCCUAGUGACCCCCAGCUUCUGCAGAGGACACAGUGAUUCAUCCCCUGGCAGCAGGUGAGGACACUGCUGUCAACUGUGUCUCAACAACCUCAGCCUGCGUUUGUAUGCAUAUAUGUAAAAUAGUUCUUAUUAAAUAAAAAUUAACUUCACAGAA